GAAUGUUGAGCUGUUACUACAACCUUUAAAGUUGCACCCAGCACAGACGAAGACGAUGUUAGACAAAUUUGCAGCAGUCGGAAUACUUCAGGGGUACUUGGACUUUGUUAACAGGAAACACGCCUCGACGCCUGACAAAGACUCUUCUGAGGAUGGUCCCUAAUAAAACCUACAUCUGAUUACAUUAAUUCCUUCAAAAGAUGGACAUGUAACAUUGUAGUUAUACUAACAUUGAAAUAAUGGGUUGUAGAUUAGUGUAUUUUGUUAAACAUUUUUGUAUUUACCCUAUGUGUAAAUUGUAACACUGUAUUCAGCAAGACUCUAAUGGUAUGGACCACGGGGUGGGGUUCUUUGUUGGGAGUCUUUUGACAUCUUAACCACAUUUGAGGUUCUUAGUGAUUAAGUAAUAACUCGUGUAAAACUUUAAUAAGAUUGGACAAUUAUAAUUACUA